rnacentral:rRNA from 1 species
ACCGGAAUAGCUCCUGGAAACGGGUGGUAAUGCCGGAUGUUCCACAUGAGCGCAUGCGAGUGUGGGAAAGGCUUUUUGCGGCAUGGGAUGGGGUCGCGUCCUAUCAGCUUGUUGGUGGGGUAACGGCCUACCAAGGCGUUGACGGGUAGCCGGCCUGAGAGGGCGACCGGCCACAUUGGGACUGAGAUACGGCCCAGACUCCUACGGGAGGCAGCAGUGGGGAAUAUUGCACAAUGGGCGCAAGCCUGAUGCAGCGACGCCGCGUGCGGGAUGGAGGCCUUCGGGUUGUAAACCGCUUUUGUUCAAGGGCAAGGCACGGUUUCGGCCGUGUUGAGUGGAUUGUUCGAAUAAGCACCGGCUAACUACGUGCCAGCAGCCGCGGUAAUACGUAGGGUGCAAGCGUUAUCCGGAUUUAUUGGGCGUAAAGGGCUCGUAGGCGGUUCGUCGCGUCCGGUGUGAAAGUCCAUCGCUUAACGGUGGAUCCGCGCCGGGUACGGGCGGGCUUGAGUGCGGUAGGGGAGACUGGAAUUCCCGGUGUAACGGUGGAAUGUGUAGAUAUCGGGAAGAACACCAAUGGCGAAGGCAGG